GAUGAAGAACGCAGCGAAAUGCGAUAAGUAAUGUGAAUUGCAGAAUUCAGAGAAUCAUCGAAUCUUUGAACGCACAUUGCGCCCGCCAGUAUUCUGGCGGGCAUGCCUGUUCGAGCGUCAUUUCAACCAUCAAGCCCCAGGCUUGUGUUGGGGACCUGCGGCUGCCGCAGGCCCUGAAAACCAGUGGCGGGCUCGCUGUCACACCGGGCGUAGUAGAUUUUAUCUCGCUCAGGGCGUGCUGCGGGUUCCGGCCGUUAAAAAGCCUUUUUUACCCAAGGUUGACCUCGGAUCAGGUAGGAAGACCCGCUGAACUUAAGCAUAUCAAUAAGCGGAGGA
rnacentral:misc_RNA from 1 species